CAGCAGCCGCGGUAAUACGAAGGGUGCAAGCGUUACUCGGAAUUACUGGGCGUAAAGCGUGCGUAGGUGGUUUGUUAAGUCUGAUGUGAAAGCCCUGGGCUCAACCUGGGAAUGGCACUGGAUACUGGCAAGCUAGAGUGUGGCAGAGGGUAGUGGAAUUCCCGGUGUAGCAGUGAAAUGCGUAGAUAUCGGGAGGAACAUCCGUGGCGAAGGCGACUACCUGGACCAGCACUGACACUGAGGCACGAAAGCGUGGGGAGCAAACA
rnacentral:rRNA from 1 species